ensembl:lncRNA
GGUCUCCCUGUGAACGCCGUUUAGCCAGAGGUGCGUUCCUUCACAAGCAGCAGCAGCAUGGAAGAACCUCUGGUUGGAUAAACAAACAUCACUUAAGCAAGGAGAACAAUCACUGGUGUAUUUUAGCUACACAAUAAGGUAACCUCUCAAUCAUUUAACAGGCUUUAGAAAGUCGUUUUUGUUCUCUCUAUUGCCAAGGAAGCACAUAGUAAUCCACUGUGAAAAAAAGACCUUAUGCUGAAUGUAAUAUUGUAAACAGAGCGUCAAAAGCAGGUGUUUCACACGCGGGUUUCAUCUGUACGUCCACGAUAUGCAGAAUGUAUAGCCGGCGGCCAUGGACGGAAAUAGAACCAACAGCCUGGCAAUAAACUGUCAAGGGACAAGAAGCAAAAAGGUUAAAAUGAGGAGGAGGAACAGCACAGAACCAGCUAAUGAAAGACGGACUGUACUACAGAAAAUCCUCCACAACAACAGGAGGGAAACCAGAGAGCAUCUACAACCGUAUGUGAUAAAGGGAGACGAAGGAUUGUGACCUUCUGACCCCAUUGCUCCUUGUCGGUUUUGCAAGGAACCGUCUCCGUCCCUGAGAAUCGAUGCAGCGGGGGCCUCCUGGCCCUCCUCUUCCGAUCGCAGAGGCCCAAAUGUGUCAUCAAUGUGUCAUUGAGCAUACGUCUUCUCGCCCAGAGGCGACAGGACCCCCGCCGCCCCUCCUCAGCACCCCCUCCCUGCCCCGUCGGAUGAGCGGGCGGAGAGCGGCGUUUACCCCCAUUCUGUGAAAUGGUGCAGAAAACAGGGGAACGAGGGACACGCCCCGUAGUGUCUAUCAAUCCCGAGUCUGCAGCGCUGACCUCCUGUGAAACUUCAUCUAGACGCCCUCAUCUAUCUGUCCGUGAAUGGGGACAGGAGCCUGCGCUUCGAAGGGCUCAGCUCCCCCCAGCCAUGCGGCCGGCAGUCUGCUAAUAUGAAAGAAGCUCCGAAUCCACUCUGUUGUUCCUUCAGGCUUUCUGGCUCUACAUUCUCCGUCAUACUUGUAUGAUUUAUUCAGCUUGUUCAUCCACGGCGUGAGACUCGGACCCCAAAGGACGAGUUGGGGAAACAUUUUUGUCCUUGCCGGGAUCCAGCCGCAGAACUUGGCAGAGGAAGUGUGUCGGCAUCGCCGUGGGUUGUCGGAGUGACACUGGAGUAGCUUGACCUCCCGCUGGUGGUUGGUUUUACGGCUCCUUCAGAGAGGCGCGCUGCUGAGCCACUGUACAGCAACCCUGCCUUGGCCUCAAUCAGCAGCCCAGGAAGAAAGCAGAGAGGACAAGAGCACAGGGUGACUCUUCCUGUUCCUCCAAACACUGUCCGCUUUUACCAGUCAUUGAAAGUUCACUGAAAAAACUUUUUUUUUAUAUCUUUCCCUUUCCCAAUAACUUAGACAACAUGUACACGUCUUGUGUAAAUACGUUGUAAUUGUGGUUUGUAUUGACUCACGCUAAACAUUUAGUGGUUUGUUGGUUGAGGGAAAGCGGCCAGCUGUUUAUAGACCUCUGGUUGGUAUAAUAAAGUGCCUCCUCACUGAACCACCAGACUACUUUUUAUCUCCCUAGAAGUGUUCAUUAUUGAAACCCGGCACCACCACAGCCAUGAAACGGAAACUGUGUUGAUUACUUUUGUCUGCUACUACAGGGAAUUGAGCAAGAGGAAGAGAUGCUAAACACGCCACGAUCCUCUAGGACUAGGUCAAGGGUCACCAGUCCUUACCACUGUUCAUUGUGUAUACAAUUUUGUUGCUGAAAAUAAAA